GACGAACGCUGGCGGCGUGCUUAACACAUGCAAGUCGAACGGAAAGGCGCUGCUUUUGUGGGGUGCUCGAGUGGCGAACGGGUGAGUAACACGUGAGUAACCUGCACUUGACUUUGGGAUAACUUCAGGAAACUGGGGCUAAUACCGGAUAGGAGCUCCUGCUGCAUGGUGGGGGAUGGAAAGUGUCGGCGGUUGGGGCUCGUCUCGCGGCUUAUCGGCUUGUUGGUGUGGUAGUGGCUUACCAAGGCUUGGACGGGUAGCCGGCCUGAGAGGGUGACCGGCCACAUUGCGACUGAGGUACGGCCCAGACUCCUACGGUACGCAGCAGUGGGGAAUAUUGCACAAUGGGCGCAAGCCUGAUGCAACAACGCCGCGUGCGUGAUGACGGCCUUCGGGUUGUAAACCGCUUUCUCCUGUGACGUAGCGUUAGUGACGGUAAUUAGUAAAGAAGCACCGGCUAACUACGUG
rnacentral:rRNA from 1 species